AAUUCAGCAUUUUUAAAAGUCAGAAACUAUUUUUAAUCAAUUAAAAAUGAAUAAAAAUAACCUAAUUGAACUAAAAUCUCAAAUAAAUCUCAAAUCAAUAAAAAAAUUGAUGAGAAUAUUUUUCAUAGAUCCAUCAUCAUUCAAAUAGGUUAGGAAAAUAUUUUUGUAUUUUUUGAAUAUCAAAAACUAUUUAAAAUGAAUUAAAAAUAACCAGAAAAGAGAAAAUUCACAAAAAAUAUCAA
rnacentral:lncRNA from 1 species